AGACCCGAAACCCGGUGAUCUAGCCAUGGGCAGGUUGAAGGUUGGGUAACACUAACUGGAGGACCGAACCGACUAAUGUUGAAAAAUUAGCGGAUGACCUGUGGCUGGGGGUGAAAGGCCAAUCAAACCGGGAGAUAGCUGGUUCUCCCCGAAAGCUAUUUAGGUAGCGCCUCGUGAAUUCAUCUCCGGGGGUAGAGCACUGUUUCGGCUAGGGGGCCAUCCCGGCUUACCAACCCGAUGCAAACUGCGAAUACCGGAGAAUGUUAUCACGGGAGACACACGGCGGGUGCUAACGUCCGUCGUGAAGAGGGAAACAACCCAGACCGCCAGCUAAGGUCCCAAAGUCAUGGUUAAGUGGGAAACGAUGUGGGAAGGCCCAGACAGCCAGGAUGUUGGCUUAGAAGCAGCCAUCAUUUAA
rnacentral:rRNA from 1 species